CCUUCUCUAUUUUUUUUUUCUUUUUGUCUCUGUUUCUCUAUUUUUCUUGGUUUAUUUUUGUUCUUUUUCUCGUUCUCUCGGUUUGAGUCUCUCUCUUUUCUUAACUCUCAUAGUCCCUCUCUGUUUCGUCUCUUUUCUUUUCUUUUGUUUCCUUUUUUGUUCCUCUCUAUUUUCUACUCUUUUCCUUUUUUUUUACCCUCCCUUUAACCCUCUCUUUCCCAUGGUAUUUAUAAGUGGAAAACGGGGGAGAGAGGACUACUACC
rnacentral:lncRNA from 1 species